CUGCUCAGGGCGCCGCCUCCUUCUCUUCCUCCUCCUCCUUCUUCUAGGUCUCCUCCCGCCGUUGCCGCUGCCGCCGUUGCCGUCGCCGCCCUGAGUCACAGUCUGCGCAGCUCCGGCCGCUUGGUUCCCGCAGCAGCCGCGGAUCUCAUAUUUGGAGGUCUUACAACAUGGCAGAUAUUGACAACAAAGAAACUGAACUUGACCAACAAGAUAUGGAGGAUGUUGAAGAAGUAGAAGAAGAAGAAACUGGUGAAGAUGCAAAUAGCAAAGCUCGUCAAUUGACUGUUCAGAUGAUGCAGAAUCCUCAAAUUCUUGCAGCUCUUCAGGAAAGAUUGGAUGGUUUAGUGGGAACAUCUACUGGAUACAUUGAGAGCUUGCCAAAAGUAGUUAAGCGACGGGUGAAUGCCCUCAAAAACCUUCAGGUGAAAUGUGCACAGAUAGAAGCCAAGUUCUAUGAGGAAGUUCAUGCUCUUGAAAGAAAGUACGCUGUUCUUUACCAGCCACUUUUUGAUAAGAGAAGUGAAAUCAUCAAUGCAAUUUAUGAACCUACAGAGGAAGAAUGUGAGUGGAAACCUGAUGAUGAUGAAGAAAUUUCAGAGGAAAUGAAAGAGAAGGCCAAGCUUGAAGAGGAGAAAAAAGAUGAAGAAAAAGAAGACCCUAAAGGAAUUCCUGAAUUUUGGCUGACUGUUUUUAAAAAUGUUGACUUGCUCAGUGAUAUGGUUCAGGAACAUGAUGAACCUAUUCUGAAGCAUUUGAAAGAUAUUAAAGUGAAGUUCUCAGAUGCUGGACAGCCUAUGAGUUUUACAUUAGAAUUUCACUUUGAACCCAACGAAUAUUUCACAAAUGAGGUGUUGAUGAAGACAUAUCGUAUGCGGUCAGAGCCAGAUGAUUCUGAUCCCUUUUCCUUUGAUGGACCAGAAAUUAUGAGUUGCACAGGGUGUCAGGUAGACUGGAAGAAAGGGAAAAAUGUUACUUUGAAAACUAUUAAGAAGAAACAGAAACACAAGGGACGUGGGACUGUUCGAACUGUGACCAAAACAGUUUCCAAUGAUUCUUUUUUCAAUUUCUUUUCUCCUCCUGAAGUUCCCGAGAGUGGAGACCUGGAUGAUGAUGCAGAGGCUAUCCUUGCUGCAGAUUUCGAGAUUGGUCACUUUUUACGUGAGCGUAUCGUCCCAAGAUCAGUAUUAUACUUCACAGGGGAAGCUAUUGAAGAUGACGAUGAUGAUUAUGAUGAAGAAGGUGAAGAGGCUGAUGAUGAGGGUUAUCAGCUCUUUGAAGAAGUCAAAAGCUGCAGUAAAUUUUUUCAACGUUGGCUGCAGUAAAUCUUUUCAAUAAAAGCAGACUGGAUGUGUCUCGAGUUGUGUUGGGAAAUUUUCAUAUUAGAAGCUUUCAGAUUAAUUGCAUUUUUCAUCAAAGUCUUGUAAUGAUGAAAACUUGUUGACCUAUACUAUAAUUUAGAUUAACCUGCCUACAUUAUGAAAUUUCUUCUACUGUACCUACUUCAUGGAUGCAUUUUGAACUUUAAUAUAGGAAGGGGAAGAAGAAGCUGAUGAGGAAAAUGAUCCAGAAUAUGAUCCGAAGAAAGAUCCAAACCCAGCCGAGUGCAAGCAGCAGUGAGAGCAGUGUGUGCUGUGGCCUUGAGGAUUACUGCACUGUCCCAGCCUAAACACAACUAGUAGUUACUUACAGCCUUAUGUUUUGUAUUUUCUUGGUAGAAUCAAGUAAACAAUUUUUGUUAAAAAAGGAAAAAAAGAAAAAAUGAACGUUUAAGAACCAGUUCAAAUUAUAGGUUCAUUCUACCUAGCAUUUUAAUAGUAUAAUUUCUGCCGGAUAUGUAGAAUGCAGUAAAUCCCCUAACGCAUGUCCAUUGCUACAUAGUUUGGUUCUUGUGAAGUCUUUUGUCAUGUAGCUAUUAGAGACUGCAGCUGCAAAAAUUAUCCAAACUGUUAUUUGAGACCAAUAUUGGUUUAGAAAAAAGAAAUCCUUCUGAAGAACCAACCAAAGUAUUUUUUCAGCCCAGUAGUUGAAUGGGUUUAAGUCUGCUUGCACUAGCUGUGCCUUCAUUACUUUGUUAGAGAAAUGCAGUGACUUGUACUAACUAGGAGACAUUUUGAAAAUUGAUUUGAGAAGAGACUAGUAUACGGUUAAGAAUUUCCAGUAAGACCACAUCUAAUGUUCGUAACUGUCUGCUUGUUUAUGGAUUUUUGUAUUUUAAUGUGACAUAGUGAUCUACAAAGAAACUUAGUCAUCCUAUUAAGGUUAUUGUUUACCACUGGGGUGUGAAUAAAACCUAGUAUUUUCAGAAGUUAGCGUCCUCUUAUACUUGUGUAACCGUGUCCAUUUAAAUUGAAAGCAUCUUUCCUUUUCUUAGUGGUAUCGUGGUGCACCUUCACUGAAAACAAUCCUUUAUACCACCUGAUAUAAGCCCAUUUCAGGUUCUUUUGUUGCAAAUUUAAAUUACCAAGCAGAAAUGUUAGUCCUCGCAGGAUAAUGUCUUAAUUUGACACUUUGGGAGGUCUACAUUGAUAAUUUUAACUGAUGGACAUUAGUUGGAAGAAGGAACCAGACUAAAAAGCAGUCCUAUAUCUACUAAUAUGCAACGAUAUGUGAAUGAACCAGUGGACAAAAUUUUAAAUCGUCAUAACCCUUAAAGAUCAUUAUUGUUCAAUUUAAAUUUAUUGCGAUCUUGGGGUUGAAGCUAGGGAGAGAGUUUCUAUUCCAAUCCUUUGCUUAAUAUGUGAGUAUAUUAUUUACUCAUACCUCUAUCUACCCAUAUAUUUAAAUGGGUGAUAUUGUUUACUUACCUACCUCACAAGAGUGUUGAGGCUUAUUAAGUUACAUUAUAUAAAAAUUGUUCUUGGUCAUUAAAAGGUCAGAAAUUUAAACUUUAUUGUGUAUGUGUUAUAUUUAGCACUUUGUUUGAACCAGGGUUAUGAUUUUCAGACUGGAAAACCAAUGGCUAGUACCUCUGUCUUAGAUUUAUUCAAAAGACAUUCUUGUGGUGGAUCUUUGUGGCUCCUGUUAGAAUUAGGACUGUGGGCUAUAUGAAAGCAUUUGGACAUUCUGGAUUUAAUGAUAGUAAUGCAUUCCUUUUCCAAGAAACCUUCAUGAAAUAUGGGAAAGUAAGAGCCAUACUAAAAUACCUCAGGCUAAUUACUGUUAUUUGGGGGGUGGGGAGAAGGGUUGAUUUAUUUCAAGGCUUGGCGGUGAAGUCCAUUAGUGAAUUUUCCCCCUAAAAAAAGGGAAGGCCAAGAACUUAAGAUAAUUAUAUUUGUUUCAUUCUUUAAUAUGAUAAUAGCUUCUUGUGCGCCCCCCCCCCCCCCCCCCAGCAUGAUUUGCGGUAAUAUGCAGCAAACAUUUUGGUAUUUACAUUGUGCCAUUCAUUUUUCACUUCAGAACAUUUAAUUAUAACUUCUGGAAAUCCUUAACUGAACACAUUGAAUUACUGUAUGAAAAUUUGCUGUGGAUAGAUCUUUGCGAUAAAUCUUUUGUUAUUUGUCCUUUGUUAUUUUUACUGUCAGCUUAAUUUUGAUGAUCUAUGAUCUAAAUUUGAUCUCACUUGUUUCUCUGUACUCUGUCUUUUGAUCAAUUUCCCCCCGCCUUUCCAUUUUUCUUCAACAGGUAGAAUCCCAUUUGAGUGAACUUAAAAGAGUUUCAAAAUUGCAAUGUUUUAUACAGCCCUUUUGAAUGAGAAACUUAUUGCUAAAAAAUGGAGGACUAAAUGGUUAAUUGUUUUUAGUUACAUGAAGCAAUUGUCAGGGAUGAUGCCACACUUGCAUAGUGACCAAAUAAUGGGGGUCAUGGUGGUAGGUAUUCUGAAGAAAAGGUCCUAGAGACUCAGUGGAAUCUGAGGAGAGGGUAAACAAUGUGAUUCCCGUCUGCUGAAAUUAUAUUUGAAUGUAUUCAAAGAUUCCUAAUAAAUUUUGACAUGUUUUUCAGAA